UGUUAAGUAACAGUUGUUAACAAAAAAUUUUUUGAAUGAAUAUGUAAAUUUAAAUUUUUAUAAAUGAAAGAACUUGGAGGUGGCGCACUCUCUCUCCCCUGCCUUAACGUCGUCGUCGGUUCUUCUUCUUCUUCUUCUGCUAUUCUGUCAUAUGGAGGUCGUCGUCGGUUGAUGGUUGCGUGUUAUGUUUGUGGCUGGUGUGAAGUAGACUUGUGGUGGUGUGUACUGUUUAAGGACUGUUUUAAAUGGAGUCUGCUGCCUUUGGUGAACUGUUAUGUGAAUUUCGGUUUUUUAAAUUGACAGAACAAGACGGACGGUACGAACACGGAAUAGG
rnacentral:lncRNA from 1 species